GCGGUACUAGCUCAGUUGGUAGAGCGCAACCUUGCCAAGGUUGAGGUCAAGAGUUCGAGCCUCUUGUACCGCU
rfam:Moritella viscosa genome assembly, chromosome: 1